rnacentral:rRNA from 1 species
GUAAUACGUAGGUGGCAAGCGUUGUCCGGAUUUAUUGGGCGUAAAGCGAGCGCAGGCGGUUUUUUAGGUCUGAUGUGAAAGCUUUCGGCUUAACCGGAGAAGUGCAUCGGAAACCGGGAGACUUGAGUGCAGAAGAGGACAGUGGAACUCCAUGUGUAGCGGUGAAAUGCGUAGAUAUAUGGAAGAACACCAGUGGCGAAGGCGGCUGUCUGGUCUGCAACUGACGCUGAGGCUCGAAAGCAUGGGUAGCGAACAGGAUUAGAUACCCUGGUAGUCCAUGCCGUAAACGAUGAGUGCUAAGUGUUGGAGGGUUUCCGCCCUUCAGUGCUGCAGCUAACGCAUUAAGCACUCCGCCUGGGGAGUACGACCGCAAGGUUGAAACUCAAAGGAAUUGACGGGGGCCCGCACAAGCGGUGGAGCAUGUGGUUUAAUUCGAUGCUACGCGAAGAACCUUACCAGGUCUUGACAUCUUCUGCUAACCUAAGAGAUUAGGCGUUCCCUUCGGGGACGGAAUGACAGGUGGUGCAUGGUUGUCGUCAGCUCGUGUCGUGAGAUGUUGGGUUAAGUCCCGCAACGAGCGCAACCCUUAUUGUCAGUUGCCAGCAUUUAGUUGGGCACUCUGGCGAGACUGCCGGUGACAAACCGGAGGAAGGUGGGGAUGACGUCAAAUCAUCAUGCCCCUUAUGACCUGGGCUACACACGUGCUACAAUGGACGGUACAACGAGUCGCGAAACCGCGAGGGCAAGCUAAUCUCUGAAAGCCGUUCUCAGUUCGGAUUGCAGGCUGCAACUCGCCUGCAUGAAGUUGGAAUCGCUAGUAAUCGUGGAUCAGCAUGCCACGGUGAAUACGUUCCCGGGCCUUGUACACACCGCCCGUCACACCAUGAGAGUUUGUAACACCCAAAGCCGGUGAGGUAACCUUCGGGAACCAGCCGUCUAAGGUGGGACAGAUGAUUAGGGUGAAGUCGUAACAAGGUAGCCGUAGGAGAACCUGCGGCUGGAUCACCUCCUUUCUA